AUUGAACGCUGGCGGCAGGCCUAACACAUGCACGUCGAGCGGUAGCACAGAGAGCUUGCUCUCGGGUGACGAGCGGCGGACGGGUGAGUAAUGUCUGGGAAACUGCCCGAUGGAGGGGGAUAACUACUGGAAACGGUAGCUAAUACCGCAUAACGUCGCAAGACCAAAGAGGGGGACCUUCGGGCCUCUUGCCAUCGUAUGUGCCCAGAUGGGAUUAGCUAGUAGGUGGGGUAACGGCUCAUCUAGGCGACGAUCCCUAGCUGGUCUGAGAGGAUGACCAGCCACACUGGAACGGAGACACGGUCCAGACUCCUACGGGAGGAAGCAGUGGGGAAUAUUGCACAAUGGGCGCAAGCCUGAUGCAGCCAUGCCGCGUGUAUGAAGAAGGCCUUCGGGUUGUAAAGUACUUUCAGCGGGGAGGAAGGCGAUAAGGUUAAUAACCUUGUCGAUUGACGUUACCCGCAGAAGAAGCACCGGCUAACUCCGUGCCAGCCGCCGCGGUAA
rnacentral:rRNA from 1 species